UGGGAGGGGUGGGUUUU
rnacentral:miRNA from 1 species